rnacentral:rRNA from 1 species
AAGGCGCGCGAUACAGGGUGACAGCCCCGUACACAAAAGCGUAUGUGCUGUGAGCUCGAUGAGUAGGGCGGGACACGUGGUAUCCUGUCUGAAUAUGGGGGGACCAUCCUCCAAGGCUAAAUACUCCUGACUGACCGAUAGUGAACCAGUACCGUGAGGGAAAGGCGAAAAGAACCCCGGCGAGGGGAGUGAAAAAGAACCUGAAACCGUGUACGUACAAGCAGUGGGAGCCCCACCACUAAGCCAGUGGUGAACUCCACAUACGCAUCCUUUGCUGAGGAUACGGUUAACGGAGCGAAAGCGACGUUCAACCGCAAAAGAAGCAGAGGGGGCUUAGUGGUGGGGUGACUGCGUACCUUUUGUAUAAUGGGUCAGCGACUUAUAUUCUGUAGCAAGGUUAACCGAAUAGGGGAGCCGGAGGGAAACCGAGUCUUAACCGGGCGUUAAGUUGCAGGGUAUAGACCCGAAACCCGGUGAUCUAGCCAUGGGCAGGUUGAAGGUUGGGUAACACUAACUGGAGGACCGAACCGACUAAUGUUGAAAAAUUAGCGGAUGACCUGUGGCUGGGGGUGAAAGGCCAAUCAAACCGGGAGAUAGCUGGUUCUCCCCGAAAGCUAUUUAGGUAGCGCCUCGUGAAUUCAUCUCCGGGGGUAGAGCACUGUUUCGGCUAGGGGGCCAUCCCGGCUUACCAACCCGAUGCAAACUGCGAAUACCGGAGAAUGUUAUCACGGGAGACACACGGCGGGUGCUAACGUCCGUCGUGAAGAGGGAAACAACCCAGACCGCCAGCUAAGGUCCCAAAGUCAUGGUUAAGUGGGAAACGAUGUGGGAAGGCCCAGACAGCCAGGAUGUUGGCUUAGAAGCAGCCAUCAUUUAAAGAAAGCGUAAUAGCUCACUGGUCGAGUCGGCCUGCGCGGAAGAUGUAACGGGGCUAAACCAUGCACCGAAGCUGCGGCAGCGAACGUAUCACUUAAAGCGAUUCAGCGGGUUACGAUUGACGGAGCGAAGCGACGUCAAAGCGUAUACAAAGUCGAGUCGGUUUAAGGAUACGUUCGUUGGGUAGGGGAGCGUUCUGUAAGCCUGUGAAGGUGGCCUGUGAGGGUUGCUGGAGGUAUCAGAAGUGCGAAUGCUGACAUAAGUAACGAUAAAGCGGGUGAAAAGCCCGCUCGCCGGAAGACCAAGGGUUCCUGUCCAACGUUAAUCGGGGCAGGGUGAGUCGACCCCUAAGGCGAGGCCGAAAGGCGUAGUCGAUGGGAAACGGGUUAAUAUUCCCGUACUU